GGCACGGUGGCAUAGUGGUUAACACUGUUGCUUCACAGCAAGAAGGUCGUGGGUUCGAUUCCAGUCUCGGGCCU